GGUUGUAGUUUAAUGGUAGAGCAUCUGCUUUGCAUGCAGAAGAUCCCAGAUUCAUUCCCUGGUAUCAUCA